rnacentral:rRNA from 1 species
AGCAGCCGCGGUAAUUCCAGCUCCAAUAGCGUAUAUUAAAGUUGUUGCAGUUAAAAAGCUCGUAGUUGAAUUUCGGGAUCAAUACGUCGGUCGUGCUUCGGUACGUACUGGCGUAAUUGAUUUCUCCCUUCUGACGAACCAUGAUGUCAUUAACUUGGUGUCAUGGGAAAUCAGGACUGUUACUUUGAAAAAAUUAGAGUGUUUAAAGCAGGCUCACGCUUGAAUACAUUAGCAUGGAAUAAUGAAAUAGGACGUUCGAUCCUAUUUUGUUGGUUUCUAGGAUUGACGUAAUGAUUAAUAGGGAUAGUUGGGGGCAUUAGUAUUCAAUUGUCAGAGGUGAAAUUCUUGGAUUUAUUGAAGACUAACUACUGCGAAAGCAUUUGCCAAGGAUGUUUUCAUUAAUCAAGAACGAAAGUU